AUGUCCUUCAUGCGCGGCCACUACUGGGCGGGCAUGAAGGCCAACUGGAUCAUCCUCAUCCACCAAUCCGGUAGUCUGUGGUGCCUCGUGGAUAUUUACACCCACAGACGCAAAUGCGCUGGCCUUCAUGAUUCCAUGACCUGGAAUCAUACCAGCCGAUGGUACCAUAUAACUGGAAUUAACCCAUGCAAGUCGAAGAAGGAUUGGCCGGUGCUGCCGGCUGGCGUCAAGUUCCAUCCCAUGGAUCAGGAGCUGAUCGAGCACCUUGAGGCCAAAGUGAGUGCUGACAGCGCGAGAUCUCACCCUCUCAUCAAUUUGUUCAUACCAACCAUCGACAGCGAGCACGACAUAUGCUACACCCAUCCUGAGAAACUUCCAGGUAUCACACUGAGUGGCCUAAGCAAGCAUUUCUUCCAGCGCAAUUCUAGGGCGUUCAAAAGGGGCACGUGGAUGCGUCGCAAGAUACAGUCGGAGUGCGGCAUGCAUGCGAUGUGGCACAACACCGGCAAUACCUUGCUGGUGAUGGUCACCGGCCGGCAGACGGGCAACAAAAAGGUUGUGGUGCUGCACACCAACAAGAACUUCGACCAGCAGAGGACCAACUGGGUGAUGCGCCAGUACCACCUCGGGGACCUGGAGCAAGAGAAGGAACGGGAGCUGGUCCUCUGCAAGAUUUUCUACCAGACGAACACUAGGGCCAGGAGUAAAAAGAUUAUAAGUCGAGCAAGUUUCAACUGGGCUGUAGACUGCCCAUGCUUGGUUUUGUUUUUAACAGGCCCAACCCAUGAAGACAAUGGGGCACAGAGAUCCAGCAGAAUGCAUAAGGAAUCGAAGAGAAAUCCUCUACAAGGAGAGGGGACCCUCACCCUGCUCACCAUUAGCGAGGUUCAAAUGGAAGGGCCUAAGGAGGAUCUGGGAGGAGGUUGGCUAAGGGAGAAGGGGCAAAGAGAAUAA
rnacentral:rRNA from 1 species